rnacentral:rRNA from 1 species
CGACCUGAGGUCAGGCAAGAACACCCGCUGAACUUAAGCAUAUCAAUAUGCGACGUACUACUUAUGCCUUCUG